GCGAUCCCUCCACGUCCGUCGAUCCAAGGACAGACCUCCAGUCGCACCAGAGAAAAAGGGCUGAAAAAAAACCUACGAAAAAAAACCAGCGAUCGCUACGAGCGAGGCCUCCUACUCGUUCGGCGCCGCCGCCGCUCCAUCCCUUCGCCCCUGCCGCUCCAUCCCUUCGCCGCCGUCCUCCACUUCAGGAGACGGAGCCGAUCGCGUUGAGGAUCCGCCGAGCCGCCGCUGUCCAGAACGCCACAUCAAACCCACCAGAUUCUUCUGCACGCACCACCGCCUCCCUUGCGAGGACGCCCGAUCAUGGGUCUCCAUCGGCGCCACGACGGCCGCGGCCUCCCGACCGCCGACGCUCCAGAUCCGCCUGUCGUUGACCCCCUCUACAUUAGUGAUCGGUCAAGGCAGGGGGCGUGGUGAUAUCCAUCUUUCCGCAUGUACGGCGGCCGGUGCCCGCGUCCGUGUAUCCUGCGCCAAGGGUGUCGUAUUCAUCUCAAGGAGGUCCUCUCAGUCCUUCCCGGCGAUGAUGCCGAGCCGGGAUUCCUCCUCCCACAGAUCCGUUGAUCCAUGGUCAGAUCUCAAGGAGGAGGGGCGUGCGGCGAUUGCCACCGUCGGUGCCUGCACUGGAAGGUCUCCGGUGCCUGCUCCAACCAGAUCCAGCCGGACUGCCAUCCCAUUGCGAUAUGUGUGCUGCUCCUGUUGUGCAUUUGCUGGUUAAGCCGCUGCUUGUGCAAAAUAUGCUUACUGCUACCCGGGCUCACAUGACCCAGAGGAGAAAGGAGCUGCGCAAGGAAUCACUGCCAGAAGACUCAAUACGAGUGUCUUGGACUCUAGGCCAAGUUCGGCAAGGAAGCAGCAAUGCGAGCUAGCCGAGGGUUCAGACUGAUGCGCGCUUUGAUUCUCGCUGAUUUAUGAUUUUGACCAAACCAAGCUGCUUUGGUCAUCACGGAGGAGAACCCGCUGUUCCUAGAGGCCUGACGCCUGGUCGAUCACAAGUCCUCCAAAGGGUGGAGCUGUUUCAGGUAGGGUACACUUGAUGUUUCAAGUUUGGUGAAAGAAAAAGAGCUUCCUAUGUUGAUUUCGGGCAAGACAUACAUUCUGCCAUGCAUUAGUAGAUCAAUUGCUUCUCUGUGCAGGGGAACAAUUAGUGAUUGAAUCUCUCUGUCACGUUUCUUGAUUAUCCAAUUAAUUUACCCCCAUCUAUUCAUAAAUUGGUCCGAUUGAGAUAUGCCAUUUUUUAUGUAAUAAUCUAUAUUGGUUCUAUAUAUGACUAGAACAAUAUGAUACGAUGCACAUCGGUCCGCUUUACUGGCAAUCUAUCUACCUAGAUGGAGGGGAGGCACUCGUGUGGAGCUGCUCAAUGUUCGAGGAGAUACAGCUAAUUAAACAAGGUUAUUUUAAAGUUCUUUGUGGUUCAUGUUAGCUAGCUAUCAGUAAUAGUACAAUCUUGAUUUUUAUGUCGUUCAGGUUUACCUAACCAUCAGUAACAUUACUUUCUAUUGGAGACUUCUUACAGGAGGUGCUUAUAAAAUGAUAGUUCAACAGGUACAGAUUUUGGAUUGCGGUCAUCUAUUUACCAGGGCAUCGGUUAACUCAAGGCAUCGAUCAAAAUUUAGCAUUCUUUGUUGUGUGCAGCAAGGGGAAGACAGAGAUUGUCUGAUAUAUGCGAUAGCGCAAUAUAAUUUCUCUUGCAUAUUUAUAAUCUGCCAUUUGAAUGAUGUUUUCUGUGUUGUAGUCCAAUCAAGACAAUUUGCAACUUUGGUGUUGUGACGUUGGAAGCAUUGCUCAACAACAAUGGGGGACUGUCGUUGAUGCCUGACCCAUGAUGCCGGCGAAGGAACGAGAGUCGACGAGGGGUGGACGCCAUGGGUUCGUGAACUGGCCAAGCCUCCGUUGUUCGUUUGGUAAUGUCCGACGCAUUAGAGGCAUAGUAUGACAUGCCCUGAUUUUUACGUCGUCUACCAACAUCUGACGAAGGAGAACCCGUCCCGGUUUCCAUCUUGAUGGUAAGUUCUUUAAUCUUCUAUCUCAUGGGAUGUGAUGUGGUUGCCUUUAUUUUGGCUUUUGACAAAGGAUUGAAAUUAGCUUAUGUGCUUCCGAAGUGAUAUUAUCAACCUUCAGCGCCACCACACUCAAAUGGCGUAGGAUAGACUGAUGUUUCAUGUGAUGUGCUUUAAGCCAUGUUUCAGCUUGUGUCGACCCAACAUGUAUUUUUAGUUUCAGUUGUUGAGCUCUGCACUACAAAACCGAGAAAGACCCAUGGCUUUUUACAGACUACAAAUAGAGGGAAAUUGGCUUGUGCCUUACUAGAGACAGAUGAACCAAUAAAAUGAUUGAAAAGGCUCUUUCCAAGCAUAAGCUCCGCUCGAUGAAGCCCUGCCACCACCAGCUAAUGCAGCCCAGGACUGCUGGAAGAAGUCCAUCGGGCAGAACUGCCGCACCAGCAGUAGGAGAGCUGCCCAUCUCCCUGGACCGCUCCAGGAAGCAGCCGGAAGAACUCCGCCAGGCAGCACUCGUCGUCCUCCUCGUCCAUGGGGGGAAGCCCCAGCAAUGAGCUCUCGUCGGGAGCGGAGUCUGGGGAAGGGAUCUGCCGAAGAGUACCGAGCUCACCGCGGCAACAGGCGCGCUCGUUGCCGCCCUCGUCCCCAUGCCCUCCAGAUCGAGAUGGAAAGAAGUGACUUUUAGGUCCGGAGGAAGAGCUGCGCGGGGCAGAGCACCGGGAGGAGGCUCGGGGUAGCUGCAUGGCGCGGCGGCGUGGAGCGGCGCGAUGCGGCGGCGUGGAGCUGCGCGGCGCGGCGGCGUGGCCUGGCCGGCGAGCAGGCAGAGAGAAAAUGGAGAUGGAGCAGAGUGUGGUGUCGGAGGGGAAUCGAGGAGUGCGAGUUAUGUCGGACAACUGUGGAGGGGGUUUUCAAAAAAUGCCAUUGCGGCAAGUAUUUGGAACCAGACUACCAGAGGGAGUAUCAAACUUGCAAUGUAGUACUCCCUCAAGCUAAUCUCUACGAAGCUUAUGUUGAAAGAUUGUCAUGUGUACUUAUCAAAUCACUGUCAUGUUGUACUUGCU